UACGUAGGGACCAAGCGUUGUUCGGAUUUACUGGGCGUAAAGGGCGCGUAGGCGGCGUGUCAAGUCAAUUGUGAAAUCUCCGAGCUUAACUCGGAACGGUCAAUUGAUACUGAUGUGCUAGAGUGUAGAAGGGGCAAUCGGAAUUCUUGGUGUAGCGGUGAAAUGCGUAGAUAUCAAGAGGAACACCUGAGGUGAAGACGGGUUGCUGGUCUAACACUGACGCUGAGGCGCGAAAGCUAGGGUAGCAAACGGG
rnacentral:rRNA from 1 species